rnacentral:rRNA from 1 species
CCCUUAGAUGUUCUGAACCGCACGCGUGUUACACUGAUGCAUUCAACGCGCUUUACCUUGGCCGAGAGGCCUGGGAAAUCUUUUUAGCAUGCAUCGUGAUAGGGAUUGAUUAUUGCAAUUAUUAAUCAUGAACGAGGAAUUCCUAGUAAACGCAUUUCAUCAAAAUGCAUUGAUUACGUCCCUGCCCUUUGUACACACCGCCCGUCGCACCUACCGAUUGAGUGGUCCGGUGAAGUCUCGAGAUUGUGGCAAUCUCCUUUAUUGGAGUUUGACUGCGAGAACUUGCCUAAACCUUAUCACUUAGAGGAAGGUGAAGUCGUAACA